CAUCCUGGGGGGAGAAGAAGAAGCAAUAAUGCUCAUCAGCAGGAUUCAAGAUCAAGAAUAUUUGCAGCUGCUUUCGGAUUUAACAGAUGGAAAUGGAAUCUGAAGGGAGCAGGGGCAUCAGUCGGGGGGCUGGAGAAGGCAGGGGAGGCCAGAUCUCCUCUCAGCUGCAAACGUCUGGAUCCAGAAGAACAACAAACAAAGCUUCCAAUCACAUCCCUCAGGUACAAUGGAGGGGAGAACUCACUGUCCAAUUAGAAGCUUCAGCCAGUUUCCAGCCCUGCAUUUGUUGCUACACAUGAUUGUGGGAGCUGCAGUUCAGCACCAGGUGGUUGGCAGAUACAUACUGUGAGUGUAUAGACCCUGCACAGGACACAUAAAGGAAUAGCACUUACCUCUUAUUGGCCGCCGGGGUGCUGAAGAUUGGAAAGGCAGUUGAACCUAAAAGACAAAAGGGAAGAAAAGAAUUACAGCAAUUCUUUGCCGAUAUCUGAUAGGCCGAUAGUCAAAUGGGAAGUGAAUAAAGCACCCCUGAUAUCUAUGGAUGAAUAGAUCAGCUGAACUACAAAUAACUGCAGCAUGUGCGCAGGAACCCAGAUGCCUCACAUUACCUUUAUUAUCACACGGUUUUUGUACAACUCUGUCCUGAUGCUCCGAGUCCAUCACAGAAGACUCCGGCUCCGCUUGCUGCCCACAGAAAGGAUCAGUUAUUAACAGCUAUAGGUAACCCCCCAGAGUUUAUUUAUAAUAAAAGCCUGACACCAA